CCCCGCAGUGUAAGGCAUACAAAGUGUUUCCCAUGCCACCAGCGCUUUUCUGGAUGCAGUUGUUCCUGUCCAGAGGUAAGACCGGCAUAUCGCUUCAGUCAUUUUGAGUAUCCUUUUAGGCAGUAGAAAGAUUUGGGACCAGUUUGUUUUGAACUUCUAAAAAUGAUAAAUAAUUUGAGAUAAUUAUAUUUACAAAUUAUGAUAGUUAAUUUGGGACGGACGGAGCAGCAUUAGAAAGAAAUCAAAGCGUAUUUUUUAUUGAAAAUGAUUUAAGCCUUUAAAUAUAUGUUAUGUGUUUUUACUUUGUAUCUUUUGGUGGGAAAAGUUGCUCAUUUUUUCCUACUUCGAGUUAAAAGAUGGUUUCAAAAAAUAUCAGUUUUGUAUAUUUUGAUU
rnacentral:lncRNA from 1 species